rnacentral:rRNA from 1 species
UUACCGCGGCGGCUGGCACCGGUCUUUCCCGCCCCUAUUACCCGACCGAUUUAAAGUCGGUUCAGACUGGAUAUUAAUCCAGCCAACUGGAGUCCCCUGAUCACGAUUUCUCGCAUUGUCAAGUUUUCGCGCCUGCUGCACCCCGUA